rnacentral:rRNA from 1 species
UACGUAGGGGGCGAGCGUUGUCCGGAAUUAUUGGGCGUAAAGAGCGUGUAGGCGGCUCGAUAAGUCUGCUGUGAAAGUCCAGGGCUCAACCCUGGAAGGCCGGUGGAAACUGUCGGGCUAGAGUCCGGAAGAGGCGAGUGGAAUUCCCGGUGUAGCGGUGAAAUGCGCAGAUAUCGGGAGUAACACCAAUGGCGAAGGCAGCUCGCUGGGACGGUACUGACGCUGAGACGCGAAAGCGUGGGGAGCAAACAGG